UACGUAGGGUGCGAGCGUUGCCCGGAUUUAUUGGGCGUAAAGGGCGCGCAGGCGGCUGCUCAAGUCAGGCGUGAAAGGCCUGGGCUCAACCCGGGAAUUGCGCUUGAGACUGGGCUGGCUUGAGUGCGGGAGAGGAUGGUGGAAUUCCCAGUGUAGUGGUGAAAUACGUAGAGAUUGGGAAGAACACCAGUGGCGAAGGCGGCUAUCUGGACGGUUUCUGACACUAAGACUCGAAAGCGUGGGGAGCAAACAGG
rnacentral:rRNA from 1 species